UCGUGCUUUGCGGCACGAGUUGUAGAUUGCAGGUUGGAGUCUGUGUGGAAGGCGGUGUCCAAGUCCCUUGGAACAGGGCGCCCAGGAGGGUGAGAGCCCCGUGGGAUGCCGGCGGAAGCAGUGAGGCCCUUCUGACGAGUCGAGUUGUUUGGGAAUGCAGCUCCAAGCGGGUGGUAAAUUCCAUCUAAGGCUAAAUACUGGCGAGAGACCGAUAGCGAACAAGUACUGUGAAGGAAAGAUGAAAAGCACUUUGAAAAGAGAGUGAAACAGCACGUGAAAUUGUUGAAAGGGAAGGGUAUUGCGCCCGACAUGGGGAUUGCGCACCGCUGCCUCUCGUGGGCGGCGCUCUGGGCUUUCCCUGGGCCAGCAUCGGUUCUUGCUGCAGGAGAAGGGGUUCUGGAACGUGGCUCUUCGGAGUGUUAUAGCCAGGGCCAGAUGCUGCGUGCGGGGACCGAGGACUGCGGCCGUGUAGGUCACGGAUGCUGGCAGAACGGCGCAACACCGCCCGUCUUGA
rnacentral:rRNA from 1 species